AGCGAACGCUGGCGGCAGGCCUAACACAUGCAAGUCGAACGAACCUUUCGGGGUUAGUGGCGGCUGGGUGAGUAACCCGUGGGAACGUUCCCUUAGGUUCGGAAUAACUCAGGGACACUUGUGCUAAUACCGAACGUGCCCUUCGGGGGAAAGAUUAAUCGCCUUUAGAGCGGCCCGCGUCGGAUUAGCUAGUUGGUUGAGGUAAUGGUUCACCAAGGCGACAAUCAGUAGCUGGUCUGAGAGGAAGGUCCGCCACCUUGGGACUGAGACCCGGCCCAAACUCCUACGGAAGGCAGGAGUGGGGGAUCUUGCGCAGUGGGCGGAGGGCUGACGCAGCCAUGCCGCGAGAAUGAUGAAGGUCUUAGGGUUGAAAAAUUCUUGCACCGGGGACGAUAAUGACGGUACCCAAAGAAGAAGCCCCGGCUAACUUCGUG
rnacentral:rRNA from 1 species